rnacentral:tRNA from 1 species
GGCCCUGUCGUCUAGCGGUUUAGGACGCCGCCCCUUCAAGGCGGAGGUCGCCGGUUCGAACCCGGUCAGGGCUACCA